rnacentral:rRNA from 1 species
ACCCGCGGCCCGAGUGGUGGCCGAUAUUAAUGAGCCUAAAACGCCCGUAGCCGGUUUUGUAAAUACUUGGGGAAAUCGACCAGCUUAACUUUGCGAAGUCCGGGGAAACUGAAAUACUUGGGAUCGGGAGAGGUGAGAGGUACUUCUGGGGUAGGGGUAAAAUCCUGUAAUCCUAGAAGGACCACCGGUGGCGAAGGCGUCUCACUAGAACGAAUCCGACGGUGAGGGACGAAGCCCUGGGGCGCAAACGG